rnacentral:rRNA from 1 species
UACGUAGGGUGCAAGCGUUGUCCGGAAUUACUGGGCGUAAAGAGCUCGUAGGUGGUUUGUCGCGUUGUUCGUGAAAACUCACAGCUCAACUGUGGGCGUGCGGGCGAUACGGGCAGACUAGAGUUCGGCAGGGGAGACUGGAAUUCCUGGUGUAGCGGUGAAAUGCGCAGAUAUCAGGAGGAACACCGAUGGCGAAGGCAGGUCUCUGGGCAUUAACUGACGCUGAGGAGCGAAAGCAUGGGGGAGCGAACAGG